rnacentral:lncRNA from 1 species
CAGAGGCACCUCCGGAAGGGCCUGGGUGAGGCUGCUAGACAGGGCAGCGGGGCACCCUCCUCCCGGAGCCCCCGCCUCUGGGCUGAGGCUCGGAUCCCCACCGCCUCCUGCGCAUGGAGGAGGCGAGAAGCGCAGGGAGACGGGGGCCCCAGACGGCACCCCGCAGGCUGCCAUUCCUUCAACCAAGAUGUAGAGAACGCCGUGGACAAAAGCUUUAAAAAAAUUCUGAAACCUC